GGCUGAAAUUACGCCUUCAUGAAGCUGGAAUUGCUAGUAAUGGCAGGUCAGCAUACUGCCGUGAAUACGUUCCCGGGCCUUGUACACACCGCCCGUCACACCAUGAGAGUUGGGAAUACCCGAAGCCUGUGAGCUAACUUAUAGAGGCAGCAGUCGAAGGUAGAAUCAAUGAUUGGGGUGAAGUCGUAACAAGGUAUC
rnacentral:rRNA from 1 species